UUAGCCUUAGGAUGAAACUAUCACGGAUGUAAAAGAGCUACGGCUCAACCUGUCCGAGAGCGCAUAACCAUCGUGUGGAUGCUUCCGUUGCCUUCCUUCUGAUUCCGCGU
rnacentral:snoRNA from 1 species